rnacentral:rRNA from 1 species
GACGAACGCUGGCGGCGUGCCUAAUACAUGCAAGUCGAGCGAAUCUGAGGGAGCUUGCUCCCAAAGAUUAGCGGCGGACGGGUGAGUAACACGUGGGCAACCUGCCUAUAAGACUGGGAUAACUUCGGGAAACCGGGGCUAAUACCGGAUAAUUCUUUUCUACACAUGUAGGAAAGCUGAAAGACGGUUUACGCUGUCACUUAUAGAUGGGCCCGCGGCGCAUUAGCUAGUUGGUGAGGUAACGGCUCACCAAGGCGACGAUGCGUAGCCGACCUGAGAGGGUGAUCGGCCACACUGGGACUGAGACACGGCCCAGACUCCUACGGGAGGCAGCAGUAGGGAAUCUUCCGCAAUGGACGAAGGUCUGACGGAGCAACGCCGCGUGAGUGAUGAAGGUUUUCGGAUCGUAAAACUCUGUUGUUAGGGAAGAACAAGUACGAGAGUAACUGCUCGUACCUUGACGGUACCUAACCAGAAAGCCACGGCUAACUACGUGCCAGCCGCCGCCGUAAUAC